UGGGGAAUUUUGCACAAUGGGGGAAACCCUGAUGCAGCGACGCCGCGUGAUUUAGAAGGCCUUCGGGUUGUAAAAAUCUUUUUUACGGGAUGAAAAUGACAGUACCGUAAGAAUAAGGUCCGGCUAAAUACGUGCCAGCAGCCGCGGUAAUACGUAUGGACCGAGCGUUGUCCGGAAUCAUUGGGCGUAAAGGGUACGUAGGCGGCCUAAUAAGUUAGAAGUGAAAGAAUAUAGCUCAACUAUAUAAAGCUUUUAAAACUGUUAGGCUUGAGAGAUGAAAGGGAAAGUGGAAUUCCUAGUGUAGCGGUGAAAUGCACAGAUAUUAGGAAGAAUACCGGUGGCGAAGGCGACUUUCUGGUCAUCAUCUGACGCUGAGGUACGAAAGCGUGGGUAGCAAACAGG
rnacentral:rRNA from 1 species